CAGCUUUCCCCGACGCCCUCCUCUCGAGUGGGGUGAGGGCUUGGACCAAAUCUGCCACCUUCUGUCAUCUCUGGAGGUUCCCGAGACUUCUAAUAGCUCGGAUCUGUUCCUGCCAUUGGCCGGUUCCUCCUACUUCAGAGCAAGUCUGGGCCAGCUGGGAUCCGACCAGAAAUCGCAAGCGGAGGAGACGCAGUAGCGCAGGCUGAGCGCUAACUGAAGGCGCGACCUGAGCCCGGCGCCUGCUGGGGAGCUGCGCAGCCAGGACAGCGGUCGGCAGCACAGGGCCUGGGCGCAGGGCCCGCCGUCACCACCUCACGUCGGAAGCCAGCACUGCUGCCCGCCAGCCCUGCCGCCUGCCCUCGGACUUCCCAGGGCGCCCAGGGUCCUCCCAACGCGCCUGCACCCACACCCGCCCCUGAGCCACAGUGACCUUGCAUUCCCCGCCCCCUGCCACACCUCCUGCGUGCCCGAGUGUCACCCUUAAAUACCGCUCUACACCCAGAGAGGGACGAAUACACCUCUGAAGACAGGGCAAGACUAAUUUCAAUGGGUCAGAAGGUUCUUGCAGGCACUGUUUUAUUUAAGAGUGCCUAUUUACUGGCAGGAGUAUUUGUGUGGGAGGAAGUAGGCUAAGACUGCUGUUGAACUUGAAGCUAAACUUGAAUGCCAUUUAAAAUAACAAUAAAAAUAUACUUAAAACACC
rnacentral:lncRNA from 1 species